AUGAUUGAUCAAUUUAUUCAGCUUUGGGAGAUGCUCCAAUCUGUGACUCUCUCUGAUGAGCCUGAUUCUAUCUCCUGGAAGAUGAAUAAGGAUGGGAUUUACACUGCAAAAUCUGCAUAUGUUUGUCAGUUCUUUGGCCACAUUGAUGCGCCCUCUCCACACGCGGUUUGGAAGGUUAAAGAUGAGCCCAAGGUAUGAUUUUACUUGUGGUUCCUGUUACAGAAACGGAACUGGACUUCCGAUUGGUUGAUGGUGAGGGGAUGGCCUCAUUCGGCACAAUGCGUGCUGUGUGACCAAGAACCUGAGACGGCCGCGCACAUUACCCUGAUGUGUCCUUAUGCUCGGGAGGUCUGGUUCUCUUUCCAUCAUUCUGACGGAGCCGCUACGGAGGCUGGCUCAACGAACAUCACUAUCAAAGGUUGGUGGUGA
rnacentral:rRNA from 1 species